AUGGCUUCAUCCGGUUCCAUGACGAGGCCACCGUGUGCUAACCAAGAAGACAUGCCGAACAAGUGGGAGGACGCAUCUUUGGACAAGGUGAAGGAGAAAGAUGUCAACAUCCCGCAAUGUUGGUGUGCAGAUGUUUGCAAGGUGAAGGUGUCCACCGACCGAAAGAAAGCAUGGACAGAAGGGCGGAGAUAUUUUGUAUGCCCGAACUAUGCUUAUGAUCGUGCACUUCCAACUAACGCCUAUGACCAACCACCGGUAAGCUCGAGAAGUAAAAUGUUACUCUGA
rnacentral:rRNA from 1 species